rnacentral:rRNA from 1 species
AACGAACGCUGGCGGCAGGCUUAACACAUGCAAGUCGAGCGCAUCCUUCGGGGUGAGCGGCAGACGGGUGAGUAACGCGUGGGAACGUACCCUUUCCUACGGAAUAGCUCCGGGAAACUGGAAUUAAUACCGUAUACGCCCUUAGGGGGAAAGAUCUAUCGGGGAAGGAUCGGCCCGCGUUGGAUUAGCUAGUUGGUGGGGUAAAGGCCUACCAAGGCGACGAUCCAUAGCUGGUCUGAGAGGAUGAUCAGCCACAUUGGGACUGAGAAACGGCCCAAACUCCUACGGGAGGCAGCAGUGGGGAAUAUUGGACAAUGGGCGCAAGCCUGAUCCAGCCAUGCCGCGUGAGUGAUGAAGGCCUUAGGGUUGUAAAGCUCUUUCAGUAGGGAAGAUAAUGACGGUACCUACAGAAGAAGCCCCGGCUAACUUCGUGCCAGCCGCCGCAGUAA